rnacentral:rRNA from 1 species
GGCCAUGUUGGUUAACAGAUCCUCAUCUGCUGGACGUCUGGCGAUGAUCUUUAUCGGUUGUCGUCAGUUGCCAGCACGUUUACUUUGAGAAAAUUAGAGUGCUAAAAAGCAGGCUCACGCCUAUAUAUAUUGCAUGGAAUAAUGAAAUAAGAUCUCGAUUUUAUUUCGUUGGUUUUAGAAAUUGAGAUAAUGAUUAAUAGGAUCAGAGGGGGGCGUACGUACUGUGGUGUGAGAGGUGAAAUUCUUGGAUCGCCACAGGACGAACAGCAGCGAAGGCGUUCGCCAAGAAUGUUUUCAUUAAUCAAGAACGAAAGUUUGAGGUUCGAAGACGAUUAGAUACCGUCCUAGUUCAAACCAUAAACGUUGCCAACUGUCUUUUAGAUGCGGUUAUUUAUAUGACUCAUCUGGCGGAUCUCGAGAAAUCUAAGUUUUUAGGUUCCGGGGGAAGUAUGGUUGCAAAGCUGAAACUUAAAAGAAUUGACGGAAGGACACACAAGAAGUGGAGCCUGUGGCCUAAUUUGACUCAACACGGGAAACCUUACUCGGCCAGGACACUUUUAGGAUUGACAGAUUGAGAGCUCUUUCUUGAUUAGGUGGGUGGUGGUGCAUGGUCGUUCGUAGUUCGUGGAGCGAUUUGUCUGAUUAAUUUCGAUAACGAACGAGACUCCGGCUUACUAAAUAGUCUAAAGUUCGAAGGGACUUUUCAAGACUUCUUAGCAGGAUAAGUGG